GGUAAACCCAGGAAGAUGGCUGAAGACUAUGCUGAUUCAAGCCAAAGCAAGGAAUCAGCUUCUGCUGAUCCUGCUUUUUGGAAUUAAGAAUUCCCAAACAGGUUGCUUCCAAUACGGCUGAAUAGGAACAGCUCCAGUCUACAACUCCCAGUGAGAUCGAUGCAGAAGGAUGGGCCGCAAAGGAGAUUCUUCCAAGAUUUCAGAAGUUGGAAGGGAAGCAGAAUCCAUUUGAUAACACAAACACAUUAUUGCUUAUCUGUUGACUCAACUUGGGAUGAAGAAGCAGUUGAGCCAGUUGUGUGUGUAGAGCUCAAGGACAAAGGUCCUUAGCUUCUGCAGAAUACUAUCAUCACCAAGCUCACAGGCUUCUAGAGCAGACAUGUGCUUCAGUCCAUUCUGUGGGCUUCCAGCUUCUACUCUUGGAGUUCCAUCCUUUUUUAUGAUAUUACCUUUCUAACUGCAUAUGCUGUGGACUUCAAGCACUUGAAUCAGAUGUAGAGACAUUAUAUGGACUGCUUGAGUAGCCCCCACAACUGU
rnacentral:lncRNA from 1 species